rnacentral:misc_RNA from 1 species
GAUGAAGAACGUAGCGAAAUGCGAUAAGUAAUGUGAAUUGCAGAAUUCAGUGAAUCAUCGAAUCUUUGAACGCACAUUGCGCCCCCUGGUAUUCCGGGGGGCAUGCCUGUCCGAGCGUCAUUACAACCCUCAAGCUCAGCUUGGUAUUGGGCCCCGCCGACCCGGCGGGCCCUAAAGUCAGUGGCGGUGCCGUCCGGCUCCGAGCGUAGUAAUUCUUCUCGCUCUGGAGGUCCGGUCGUGUGCUCGCCAGCAACCCCCAAUUUUUUUCAGGUUGACCUUGGAUCAGGUAGGGAUACCCGCUGAACUUAAGCAUAUCAAUAAGCGGAGGA